rnacentral:rRNA from 1 species
AGUGAACGCUGGCGGUAGGCCUAACACAUGCAAGUCGAACGGCAGCACAGUAAGAGCUUGCUCUUACGGGUGGCGAGUGGCGGACGGGUGAGGAAUACAUCGGAAUCUACUUUUUCGUGGGGGAUAACGUAGGGAAACUUACGCUAAUACCGCAUACGACCUACGGGUGAAAGCAGGGGAUCUUCGGACCUUGCGCGAUUGAAUGAGCCGAUGUCGGAUUAGCUAGUUGGCGGGGUAAAGGUCCACCAAGGCGACGAUCCGUAGCUGGUCUGAGAGGAUGAUCAGCCACACUGGAACUGAGACACGGUCCAGACUCCUACGGGAGGCAGCAGUGGGGAAUAUUGGACAAUGGGCGCAAGCCUGAUCCAGCCAUACCGCGUGGGUGAAGAAGGCCUUCGGGUUGUAAAGCCCUUUUGUUGGGAAAGAAAGGCAGCAGGUUAAUACCCCGCUGUUCUGACGGUACCCAAAGAAUAAGCACCGGCUAACUUCGUG